rnacentral:rRNA from 1 species
UACCAGCACCCCGAGUGGUCGGGACGAUUAUUGGGCCUAAAGCAUCCGUAGCCGGUUCUGCAAGUCCCCCGUUAAAUCCAGCUGCUCAACAGAUGGGCCGCGGAGGAUACUACAGAGCUAGGAGGCAGGAGAGGCAAGCGGUACUUUAUGGGUAGGGGUAAAAUCCGUUGAUCCAUAGAAGACCACCAGUGGCGAAGGCGGCUUGCCAGAACGCACUCGACGGUGAGGGAUGAAAGCUGGGGGAGCAAACCGG